UCUCUCUCUCUCUCUCUCUCUCUCUCUCUCUCUCUCUCUCUCUCUCUCUCUCUCUCUCUCUCUCUCUCUCUCUCUCUCUCAUUUUUUUGCAGCGGAACGUGGGGCCGAUUCCGAACCGCCGCAACCGAAUCGGAACCGCUUGCUCCCCCAUCGAGAGUGCAAGAAGUAUAGAUGACUGAAGCGAAGUAUAGAUGACUGAACCCCCGCGUCCCACCAGUCAUUACCGGUUGUGACGUGCCCGCCCCGUCCACCAAUCACAGUGACUGGAACGCGACACACUUCCAGUACAAAAGCUGCGGAAAGAGGCUGCCACCUACGCCGGAUCGGUCUGGAACGGCGUGGAAUUAUAGUGGAUUGGCCUGGAAUGAGCUUAAUUGAUCUGGAAUUAUGCUAAGAUGGGCAUGAUUGAGCCAAAACGGGUCUGGAAAGCGGCUCCCGUCAGACUACCUGGCCUGGAGGCGACGCUGACGAGGCUGACGGCGGUAGUGACUUGAAACUCUCCAUUACAGAGGAAGACAAUGAGGACACGUGGAGGCGCCUCGGUGGAGUGUAACGCUUUGGACUCGUAACCAGCUGGACUUACAACCCACGUGAGGC